rnacentral:lncRNA from 1 species
GAGAAAAAUGCGCAUUCAGAAGUGGGCUGCCAUCCUGCUUUUUCUGAAGUGAACAGCUGCUGGGUAUUGAAACCAGCCCUCACGGUUGGGUCCCUGCCACCAUGGCAACACUCUGGUUUCUGAGCUGGAGUGGCCAAGGCACAAUGGGGUGGUUCCAUGGCCCAGAAGCACUCUAGCUACAGAUUAGUUUAUUUCAGGACUAUAUUAAGUUUCCCAACUUCUGUCAUGAUAUAGUCCAAAGAGAACCUGGACCACGCAGACAUCAAACAGAACAUGACACUGACCCAUUCUAUCAGUGACGUUGUGCUGAUUGCACAGGACAGAUGAGAGGCUCGUAUACUAGAAGUCUUGUCAUAUGAUACUUCAAAAUCUGUGAUUCCAUGAAGCCAAGAGUAGCUCUUCAACAGGAAAUGAAUGAGUGCUUCAGCUUCUGAUCCCAUUAGUAAGAAAAUACAGUCUUAUGAGCAAUGAUGGAGCUGCAUCUCUUAGGGGCAUUUGAUUCCCAAGAGACCAAAGAGCAAAGAGAAUGUCAAUUUAAAAAAAUCAAAUGUUUCCAUGACUUAGCUAUUUAACUGCUUUAAAAUGAAUGAAUGCUGCUUCAAGUUCUUUCAAAUACCCCACAUCUUGGCAACAACGAAAGGAAUUAACAUGAAGAAAAUUUACAAUCUUUCAUCACAUCGAACAAUGUCCCACAUUUGAAAAGUUCACAGCACAGAUUUCUGGUUACUGAAAGAAAGGAAAGACCUUCUUUGGAUUUGAAUAAACAGAUGGACUUUCUUCUCCUUUUUCUUAUAGUGCCCGAUUUGUGUAAAGGGAGGUGGGAAGAAAACAUCUUAGCUUAAAAGAGUGUCCUAUAAAAUAAAAGGUUUCAUACUUGCCUAUAGCUAAUCUCUGAAGGUGGUUACAAAAGAGGAUUUCUGAAACAUUUUAUAUGCAAUGGCCCAGACAUUUGCAUAAGUGGUCAAACUUUCAAGAUGACAACUUAAAAAUAUAAUACUCCUUUUGGACAAGCUUGUUUUUAAAAUAGCAGCAUCAUUAACUUUGGCAAAUCCAAUUCUUAAAUAUCCUUUAAAAUAGUUGAUAAAAGAAAGAAGGUAUCAGAACUAUAUAAUGGUUGCACUGCAUUUUUUAAAACCUCUUAUUUUGAAAUAAUUUUAGAAUCACAGAAAGUUGCAAAUAUAGUAUAAGGAGUCCCAUGUGCCCUACAUGAUGACAUCUUAUAAAGGGAUAGUAUAAUAUCAAAACCAAGAAAUUGACAUUGG